rnacentral:rRNA from 1 species
UACGGAGGGUGCAAGCGUUGUUCGGAAUUACUGGGCGUAAAGCGUGCGUAGACGGUUACAUAAGUCGGGUGUGAAAGCCCCGGGCUCAACCUGGGAAUUGCAUUCGAGACUGCGUAGCUAGGGUGCGGAAGAGGGAAGCGGAAUUUCCGGUGUAGCGGUGAAAUGCGUAGAUAUCGGAAGGAACACCAGUGGCGAAAGCGGCUUCCUGGUCCAGCACCGACGUUCAGGCACGAAAGCGUGGGGAGCAAACAGG